ACGGACACUAAGAAGGGGAUGUAUUGUCUGCGUGUGUUGCCUUCACACCUUUGAAUUCUAAAGGGAUGGCAGGGGCAGCUAACAGAGAGCAGAGAGGAGGCAUCCGGAAUCCCAUGUGGCACAUUUAUGUCAACUGCAUGUCAAUCAGAUGCAAGUGAAGACUAAGCAGUUCCAGCACGGGAACCUCUGAAAAUCAAGACCACAUCAUCCUGAUGUUUUGGCAUUUUGCCCAUUGCCUCAGCAUGUGCUUUUAAAGAGAGCUCUCUAUUGCCGUCUCAUGGUGAAUGAGUGAAUGGCUGGGAUUAGGAGACAAAACUGGCUACCACCACUAAGCAGAUUAACUGAAGAUGUGGUAUAUAUACACAAUGGAAAACUACUCAGCCAUAAAAAAGAACAAAAUAAUGCCAUUUGCAGCAACAUGGAUGGAACUAGAGACUCUCAUUCUGAGCGAAAUUCCACAAAGGCAAAGGGGAAGCUUACAUGAAGCAGACCUGAGUUCCUGCUAUUACUUAUGUGCAACAUCAGAAAGAGAAUUCCAUGGUAAGUGUAGACAGUCUCUAAGGUUUGAGGCUCACCAUAUGAAGGAAUGUUUUCCUGGAAAGCUCUUCUUCUCCAGUCUGGCAUUCAUCCUUCUGAAACAUUUACCCUUCUGUCAGCUGGUCCUCUGGCCUAUUAAAACCAGAUCCCAGUGGAUCUAGAAACCUCCCUAAGCUACCUGGGUGAGUGCUGCAGAUUUGAAAGCAAUCUUUUAAUAUAUUCACUUGAUUUUAAAGACAGAAACCUCCCUGGAACAUUUAACCACAGGUACCCACUUUUGCUUUUCUGAGUGGCUGCUCCCUGAACUUCUCUGAAGCUGCUGUUAGAGGUGGUUAGGAUAUAUUUCCAAAGAUUCAAGUUAUGUGCUGGACUAUUAAGUCUUUGAGGUCCCAGAAAAACCACAAAGGAUUGCUGGUGUCAGGACUGAGGGAGAAACAAGCUUUGAAAUAUAGGAGAAGAUAAAAAAGCAAAGCCUCUGCAGGUAUGUCUUCCCAAUCAGAUAAAAAUACAAACCAAAUGGACAAUAAAGGCAGGCUUUGCAAAGCUCUUGCCUGUGGGGUGGAAAAGUUGGGGAGGGGAGGGUCAGCGAAAGGGGGAUAAAAACCCUCCUGGUGCAUUUAAACCUAAAACCCGAUGUUUAAUUAUAGCAUUACCACAAAAUUUUUUCAAGUCCAUGUUGGUGACCAAAAAGGGACACAGGUGGACAUUUUAGAGAACCCUAGAUAUAGAAGCUUUGUUCUUUGUUUAGAAAGUCUCUCAAAACCCUUGGUUCUAAAUCACAGGUUUCAUCUACAUGGCUCAUCAAAAGAUCACAAAUUUCACUUUUUCCUCCAGAAUGCUGGAUGAGAACAUUCAACCAGAAAUAAGGUCACUGGCAAAGUGAUUCAGGGCUUAUUGGAUUCUUAAGGUUGUUUUCCAGGGAUAUUUAUAAGAGAAAUGUAAUUUUUGGAAAGAAAAAUAUGUUGUGAAUUGAUGACAGUUCUUUCUGGCCCCAGAUCUUUAUUAAGGCAAAAGCAUUGCAGCCACACAGAAGAAUCUGAGUCUCAGCUUUAACUUUUUUCACAUAAAAAUGCACCAACCUCAGUAUUCUGUAGAAAGACCUAGAGUUUUUAAUGCCUUUAGUUUUGUGGUUUCCUGAUUUACAUGGGGCUUUGUGCAUAAAUAUGCAGCUCCCCACUUCCUGAAUGAAAAUAGGCUUUCCUAUUUUAUGGGCCCGCAUACAUUGUACUGAAUUUCUCCACAAAGGACAAAAUUUAUGUUGAAGGCUGAUCCAAGGGAAAUUGACCUGAAAAGAUUUCUCCAAAAGUAGCAGAAGUGCCUACUUUAAUCGUAGAUCCUGGUGGAUGAGCUGAGUAGAUAAGUUCAUAAGACAUAUAUUAAUGACAAUAAUAUGAACACUUUUAUUAAAAAUCAAUCAAAUUAGGAAAUUAUAGAUCACAGAGAGCACUAUCCAUUUAUCAUGACUUUUUAUGUAGAAUUUUCUGUUUACCACCACUGAAAAAUUAGUCAUGAUUCAGGAUAUCUUCAAAAACAUACUUAAGGAGACAACCCCUAAAUGUUCCAUAGUCUCAGCCUUGCUUUCUAAGUAUGGUUAUCUUAAACACAGAUCUUUCUCAACAGAGUCAGUUAAGAGCAAAUAUGACUUCAUUUAGCCCUACUUCAUGUUUUUUCUCUGGUCUUAUUACAACCCCUUUGCUCUUGGUGAAAAUUUUAUAUCGUCCUUCCUUUCCUUUCAUCAUCCUUCCUACCUUCUUUGCCCUCUUCCUCCUCCUCCCCUUCCUCCUCCACUUCCUUCUCUAAUACUGCUGUAGAGGAGCUGCUAUCAUAGUAAAAUUCCAGACUAAGAAACUUCUAUCAUUUUAAGUCUCCUUGUGGACUUGUGAUAGAGCUGCAGUGAUAAGGAGGCUAUUAGAGUUGAUUGAUUCAUCAAACAAGAGCUGUGGGCAAAUAUCUGAAAUGAGUAGUGUUGGGAAACAUAAAGCACACCAUCUCCAUCCAGAGAAUUUACAAAACUGUAGGUUGUAAAGGCAGGUAGGAGUUUGGGUUAAUUUUUCAAAAUCCUUCUCGACUUUGUCACUUAGAAAGAGAUACCUCAUCCAACCAUACCCCACAAAGAAGGAGAGUUUAAGGGUUUCAAUUUCUGUUUUUUGUCUAUUUGAAAUUACUUUGUUUCUGAACAAAAACUAUCUUUCAGCAAAUGGGAAUUUCUAUUAAAUUCACUCUAUUCAUAAUGCAUUCAAAAUCUAAUACAUAAUUUUCCUAAACCAUUUUGGGAGAAAUAUUGAAAACCACACGUGAUGAUAUGAAAAUAGUAUUUGAAUGAAAACAUCGCUGUGGAAAACUGGUAUGCAUGAGUAUGACAUUUCUCAUUUGACUAGAGUUAACCAUAGAUGCUGUUAAGCUGGGUCUACAUAGUGCAACCAGAGUGACAGUUUUAAAGUCGGUUGGAAUUCAUGGGUUUGUUUUGUUUUGUUUUGUUUUUAACCAAGUUUGUUUUUUAAGCAAAUUGACUGGUUAAAGGGUCAGGGUGGUUGUAUGGUUCGUGUAAAACAACUCUAGACCUAUAGUGAGAUUUGGACACAUGAUCCUUACAAUGAUUCGUUAUAACUUUGAUGGCCCUUUUGAUUUCCCUUUACUUUGAGGUUGUUUGUGUUUUUCAUGAACUCUGUAUUGAUGAAGCAACUCAAAAUAUAUUUGCCACAGUAGGAUAGUUUUCCUAACCAACUUACUUUUCCAACACAUUAUUUUUCUUUCAUCUGCUUAAGGAAUUAUAUUGUUUUUAAGGCUAAAUUCUUCAUCCUGACAUUCAAGGCUUUAUGGAACUAUCUCUGAUAAAUGUCUGGGGAGGGAGUUAGGUACUAAGCACUCAUUCUUGUGCCUCGUCUGCCUUAUCUUGUGUGGCAGAGGCUACAAGCCUCAGAACUACAUUUUCAGACCACUUUUUCUCCUUUGUUUUGGAUAGAUUGGCUCUUUACCUAAUAGUCACACUUAUGUAAGAUUUAGAAAGAAGAAGAGAGGCAGAAGUUUUCUGGUACUUUUUCUGACACCAGACCAUGGGCUUAUAGAAAUGAGUUUUCUAACGAUCUCUGUUUUCUUCUGCUAUUCACCUACCACAGGUAUGUGGAGACACUAUCAAGUGUUACUGGUUUUCUGCCAGUUGUAAACUUCUGGACAUGAGUUUCUGACUCUGUCCAGGCCUUUCCAUGAUUUGUAAGUUCUUCUGUACAAUAUAUUCUUUUCUGUUUUAAAUACACAGAAUGGCUUAUGGUUUUCUAACUGAACACUGACUAUGUAAUAUAAACCCUCAUUUGAUAAAGAUGCCUGAAACCAAAGGCAAAACAUAGACCUACUCUGUGCUUCAGUGGACCCUCUUGUCUCUCCAUAUCUUUACCCAUUCAAAUUCAUCUGAGUCUGCCUCCAUGCAACAUUUCCGCCUACUGAGCUCCCAUUAAAUCCAUAUUUCUUAACUCUUUCAGUGGUAGUAGCCUAUAGAGAACAAUUUUUGAACCUCAGUUUUAAUCCUCUUCUGUAUUGUUCUUUUUAUAAAAUCAUGUUUUUCUUUUUAGUAUCCCCCUUUACAUUGUAAGCUCCAAGAGAACAAGUCUACUUUUAAAUGUUUUUUCUUCUGGUUCCUUGACAGAGGCAACACAGUGUGACAUGCAUAAUGGAAU
rnacentral:lncRNA from 1 species